rnacentral:rRNA from 1 species
UGCCAGCCGCCGCGGUAAUACGGAGGGGGCGAGCGUUGUCCGGAAUCAUUGGGCGUAAAGGGCAAGUAGGCGGGCUAAUCAGUCCAUGGUGAAAGUUCGGUGCUUAACAUCGAAUUUGCUUUGGAUACUGUUAGUCUUGAGUGUGAGAGAGGAGAGCGGAAUUCCCGGUGUAGCGGUGAAAUGCGUAGAUAUCGGGAAGAACACCAGUAGCGAAGGCGGCUCUCUGGCUCAUAACUGACGCUAAAUUGCGAAAGUGUGGGUAGCGAACAGGAUUAGAUA